rnacentral:rRNA from 1 species
GGAGUUAGCCGGUGCUUCUUCUGUGAGUGAUGUCCUUCCUGCCGGCUAUUAACCCGCAGGCCUUCUUCCUCACUGAAAGUGCUUUACAACCCGAAGGCCUUCUUCACACACGCGGCAUGGCUGGAUCAGGGUUGCCCCCAUUGUCCAAUAUUCCCCACUGCUGCCUCCCGUAGGAGUCUGGGCCGUGUCUCAGUCCCAGUGUGGCUGAUCAUCCUCUCAGACCAGCUACGGAUCGUCGCCUUGGUGAGCCGUUACCUCACCAACCAGCUAAUCCGACAUAGGCUCAUCCGAUAGCGCGAGGCCCGAAGGUCCCCCGCUUUCCCCCGUAGGGCGUAUGCGGUAUUAGCCUGGGUUUCCCCAGGUUAUCCCCCACUACCGGGCAGAUUCCUAUGCAUUACUCACCCGUCCGCCGCUCGCCACCAGGGAGCAAGCUCCCCGUGCUGCCGCUCGACUUGCAUGUGUUAGGCCUGCCGCCAGCGUUCAAUCUGAGCCAGAGANAACAACUACGACUACGUAGAGGCGGCGCGACGACGGCG